rnacentral:tRNA from 1 species
GGGGUUGUGGCUCAGUGGAAGAGUGCUCGCCUAGCAUGAGCGAGGCCCUGGGUUCGAUCCUCAGCACCACA